CGAACAGACCAAGAAAAUUGAAAUUCUACACCCAAAUCUUAUCUUAAUUCAACAUCGAGGUCGCAAACUUUUUCAUCGAUAUGAACUCUCCAAAAAAAUUACGCUGUUAUCCCUAAGGUAAGUUAAUCUUAUAAUCAAAAAUUCUGGAUCAAAAAAACAUAAAUAAAUGUUUAAAAAAAAUAAAAGUUAAAUAAAUUUUACUGUCGCCCCAACAAAACUUUUCAUUCAAAAAAAAGAUAUUUAUAAACUAAGAAAAUAAUUUUUUAAAAAAAGUAAACUUCUAAAGGGUCUUCUCGUCCUAUAUAAAAAUUUAAGCUUUUUAACUUAAAAAUUAAGUUUAAAUAAAUUAAAAAAAGAAAGUUAAUUUUUCAUCAAACCAUUCAUACUAGCCUUCAAUUUAAAGACAAAUGAUUAUGCUACCUUCGUACAGUUAAAAUACCGCAUCCUUUUAAUUCUUAAAAAUCAAUGGGCAGUCCCGAUCUUAC
rnacentral:rRNA from 1 species